UCGGACCAGCCGAUGGAUUUGAUUGUAAGAACUAGAACAGCGUGGGAAAGCUGACCGAAGAUGGUGAUAGUCCAGUAUAGGUAGAAAGCAAUUAAGUUCUUGAGUAGGGCGGAGCACGAGAAAUUCUGUCUGAAAAUGGGGAGACCACUCUCCAAGGCUAAGUACUACUGAGUGACCGAUAGUGAACAAGUACCGUGAGGGAAAGGUGAAAAGCACCCCUAUAAGGGGAGUGAAAAAGAACCUGAAACCGGAUGCCUACAAGCAGUCGGAGGAGCAUUAGGCUCUGACGGCGUACCUUUUGUAUAAUGGGUCAGCGACUUAAUUUAUGUAGCAAGCUUAAGCCGAUAGGUGUAGGCGCAGCGAAAGCGAGUGUUAAUAGCGCGUUAAGUUACAUGGAUUAGACCCGAAACCGAGUGAUCUAGCCAUGAUCAGGUUGAAGGUUGGGUAACACCAACUGGAGGACCGAACCCACUCCCGUUGAAAAGGUAGGGGAUGAAUUGUGGCUAGGGGUGAAAGGCCAAUCAAACUCGGAAAUAGCUGGUUCUCCGCGAAAACUAUUUAGGUAGUGCGGCAAGCGGACACGUUGAGGGGUAGAGCACUGAAAGAGCUAAGGGGGAGCGAUCCUUACUAAACUUUAUCAAACUCCGAAUACUCAACAGUGAUACUUGCCAGACAGACUGUAGGUGCUAAGGUCUACGGUCGAGAGGGAAAGAGCCCAGACCGCCAAUUAAGGUCCCAAAAUUAUGGCUAAGUGGUAAAGGAAGUGAAUUGUCCAAAACAGUCAGGAGGUUGGCUUAGAAGCAGCCAUCCUUUAAAGAAAGCGUAAUAGCUCACUGAUCUAAACAAGACGAUUUGCGCCGAAGAUGUAACGGGGCUAAAGCCAUAUACCGAAGUUGCGGAAUUGCACGUAAGUGCAAUUGGUAGCGGAGCGUUCUGUAAGCCUGCGAAGGUGUUCCGUAAGGAAUGCUGGAGGUAUCAGAAGUGAGAAUGCUGACAUGAGUAGCGAAAAGAAGUGUGAGAGACACUUCCGCUGAAAGUCCAAGGUUUCCUGCGUAAAGCUAAUCUGCGCAGGGUUAGUCGGCCCCUAAGGCGAGGCAGAGAUGCGUAGUCGAUGGGAAUCAGGUUAAUAUUCCUGAACCAACUAGGAAGUGACGGAUUCAGUAAAUUGUAUGUCCUUAUUGGAUUGGAUGUGCAGUGAAUGAGUCCCGGGAAAUAGCCCUAGUAUAGACCGUACCCGAAACCGACACAGGUGGACAGGUAGAGAAUACCAAAGCGCUUGAGAGAACUAUGUUGAAGGAACUAGGCAAAAUACUUGCGUAACUUCGGGAUAAGCAAGCCCCAUUUCUGGGCAACCAGAGGUGGGGGGCACAUACUAGGGGGUAGCGACUGUUUACUAAAAACACAGGGCUCUGCUAAAUUGAAAGAUGAAGUAUAGGGUCUGACGCCUGCCCGGUGCUGGAAGGUUAAGGAGAGAUGUGCAAGCAUUGAACUGAAGCCCCAGUAAACGGCGGCCGUAACUAUAACGGUCCUAAGGUAGCGAAAUUCCUUGUCGGGUAAGUUCCGACCUGCACGAAUGGCGUAACGACUUCCCCGCUGUCUCCAACAUAGACUCAGCGAAAUUGAAUUCUGAGUUAAGAUGCUCAGUACCCGCGGUUAGACGGGAAGACCCCGUGAACCUUUACUAUAGCUUUGCAGUGGUAUUAGGUGACAAAUGUGUAGGAUAGGUGGGAUGCUAUGAAGUUAUGACGCUAGUUGUAAUGGAGCAGACGUUGAAAUACCACCCUUUUGUUAUUUGAUAUCUAACCUGCUUCCGUUAUCCGGAAGAGGGACCCUGCAUGGUGGGUAGUUUGACUGGGGCGGUCGCCUCCCAAAGAGUAACGGAGGCGCGCAAAGGUUGGCUCAGAUUGGUCGGAAAUCAAUCGUUGAGUGCAAUGGCAUAAGCCAGCCUGACUGCGAGAGCGACAGUUCG
rnacentral:rRNA from 1 species